CAAAAACCCCAGCCCUCUGAAGGCUCUGAUGUCCACUCCAGACUUCUCCAGGGCCACUUAUUCCAAUCUACUCUCCAAGCUGCAGCUGGAAUGGAAACCCGAUCCUGUUGAGAAGUGAA